GACGAACGCUGGCGGCGUGCUUAACACAUGCAAGUCGAACGAAGUAGCGAACGGGUGAGUAAUACGUGGCUACCCUGCCCUCCUUUUUGGGAUAAGCCUUGGAAACGGGGUCUACUACCGAAUAAAGGGGGAUGGGCUCGCGGCCUAUCUGCUGGUUGGUGGGGUGAUGGCCUACCAAGGCGGUGACGGGUAGCCGGCCUGAGAGGGGGAACGGCCACAUGGGGACUGAGAUACGGCCCAGAGUGCUAAGGGAUGCGGCAGUGGGGGAUAGUGCACAAUGGGCGAAAGACUGAUGCAGCGACGCAGCGUGGGGGAUGAAGGCUUUCGGGUUGUAAACCUCGUUCGCUAUAGAACGGGUAGGUGGAGAAGAAGCGCCGGCUAACUACGUGCCAGCAGCCGCGGUAAUUC
rnacentral:rRNA from 1 species